GGAUUUGUCAGUUGGUCGGGCUUAACUGUCCGUAUUGACUUGAUGGAUUCUUACCUUCUGAAUAACCAGCAUGCUAUUAAGUUAGUGCGUUGGGGAAGCAGAUCUAUUACCUUGAAAAAAUUAGAGUGUUUAAAGCAAGCUAACGCUUGAAUACAUUAGCAUGGAACAAUAAAAUAGGACGGCAUGGUUCUAUUUUGUUGGUUUCUAGGAUCAUCGUA
rnacentral:rRNA from 1 species